AGCCUGAUGCAGCGACGCCGCGUGAGGGAUGACGGCCUUCGGGUUGUAAACCCCUUUCAGCAGGGAAGAAGGCCUUCGGGUGGACGGUACCUGCAGAAGAAGCGCCGGCUAACUACGUGCCAGCAGCCGCGGUAAUACGUAGGGCGCAAGCGUUGUCCGGAAUUAUUGGGCGUAAAGAGCUCGUAGGCGGUCUGUCGCGUCUGGUGUGAAAACCCGAGGCUCAACCUCGGGCUUGCAUCGGGUACGGGCAGACUAGAGUGCGGUAGGGGAGACUGGAAUUCCUGGUGUAGCGGUGGAAUGCGCAGAUAUCAGGAGGAACACCGAUGGCGAAGGCAGGUCUCUGGGCCGCAACUGACGCUGAGGAGCGAAAGCAUGGGGAGCGAACAGGAUUAGAUACCCUGGUAGUCCAUGCCGUAAACGUUGGGCACUAGGUGUGGGGCUCAUUCCACGAGUUCCGUGCCGCAGCUAACGCAUUAAGUGCCCCGCCUGGG
rnacentral:rRNA from 1 species